rnacentral:rRNA from 1 species
CAGUCGUAUCUGCGGGUAAUCAGCCUUCUGGGCAUGAUUCUGUGGAGCGUGAGGAGUUAAACGCCUUCAUGCCUGCAUAUUCGUGUACUUUGGGUGUACUUGCCUGUGUGGUUAGUUAACAUCAAUUUUGGUUAUCAUAAAUGGCUGGAGGAAUGUAGCUUCGAUCUCGUUAUUGAAGUUGUUAUAGCCCUUCGGCAGAUGGUGAUGAUCGAG